GGGGAUGAUCGGUUUCGACAUCGUCUGCGAAUUCGCGAGAAGCGGGCCGAGGAUGCGGGGUUAUCUCGUAAACGCCCCCUGCAAACAAAUAACUGCCAAUAAGAAGCAGUCUGACUUCGCCCUCGCUGCCUAAGCAGCGAGCCCGAGUCCGUUAGCCCGUAGGCGAUCCCGCUACGGUUCCUAGCGUCAUCUAAGGGAUCUUGCUGCGUGACGGCGUCUGGACGUCACGCGGGACUUCUCCCAGGCUGGGCUUGUCGACUUAGGUGUCUGUGACAAAGGUCGGAGCCGAGCAGAACGCUUUCACAGAAUGCGCCCGGAGAAGGCGCGAUGACCCAGCGAUGGACGGGGGUUCGAUUCCCCCCAUCUCCACCA
rfam:Microbacterium sp. 67-17 scnpilot_p_inoc_scaffold_207, whole genome shotgun sequence.